rnacentral:tRNA from 1 species
CGCGGUGUGGAGCAGUUGGUAGCUCGUCGGGCUCAUAACCCGAAGGUCGCAGGUUCGAGUCCUGCCACCGCAACUA